GAUGAACGCUAGCGAUAGGCUUAACACAUGCAAGUCGAGGGGCAGCAUGGUCUUAGCUUGCUAAGACUGAUGGCGACCGGCGCACGGGUGCGUAACGCGUAUGCAACUUGCCUCACAGAGGGGGAUAACCCGUCGAAAGACGGACUAAUACCGCGUACACUUGGGAUAGGGCAUCCUGACCCAAGGAAAUGAAAUUCGCUGUGAGAUAGGCAUGCGUCCCAUUAGCUAGUUGGUGAGGUAACGGCUCACCAAGGCGACGAUGGGUAGGGGAACUGAGAGGUUGAACCCCCACACUGGUACUGAGACACGGACCAGACUCCUACGGGAGGAAGCAGUGAGGAAUAUUGGUCAAUGGGCGAGAGCCUGAACCAGCCAAGUCGCGUGAAGGAUGACUGUCUUAUGGAUUGUAAACUUCUUUUAUACGGGAAUAACAAGAGUCACGUGUGGCUCCCUGCAUGUACCGUAUGAAUAAGCAUCGGCUAACUCCGUG
rnacentral:rRNA from 1 species